AACUAAUUGGAAUUUAUUACAAUUUUAUUUCUGAUAGUUUACUGUUAAUAUAUAAGAAUAUGAUGGAUUUGUGACUUUGCAAAGUAGUAUUUGUUACUUAUAGUAGUUGUUUUAUAGAUUCUGCAGGCAUCUUUCUAUAUGAAUAGUCAGAUCACCUGCAAUGAGGGACUAUUUUACUUCUUUUUCAUGCCAUGUUACAAAGGCAAGAACCACCAGCUUGAUGUUGAAAAAAGUAUUAACAGCAAUAAUUCUUUCCAUUGUUUUUUCAGCCUUAACAAGAAACAAGCCUUUCACCUUAAAGUAUGAUGUUAGCUGUAGGCUUUUUUGUACAUAUCCUUCAUCACAGAGGAUAAUUUUUACUUGUAUGCCAAGAACUUUCAUUGCGAAUGGGUGUUGAAUUUUGACAAGCGAUAGUCGGGCAUGGUGGCGCACGCCUGUAAUCCCAGAACUUGGGAGGCUGAGGUAGGAGGAUCGCUGUGAGUUUGAGGCCAGCCUGGGCUACAUAGUGAGUUCAGGGCCGUCCUGAACUAUGUAGCAAGACCCUGUCUCAAAAAAAAAAAGUGCUGUUCGCUAUCUAUUGAAAUGAUCAUAUAAUUUUUCUCCUUCAUUUUGUUAAAAGGACAAAUUAAAUGGGUUGAUUUUCAAAUUAAAACUGCCCUUGAAUUUCUGGGGUAAACGUUAUUUGCUCAUGAUACAUUAUCCUUUUAUUUAUUAUUGGAUUCCAUUAGCUGUUAUGUUGUUAUCCACGAAGGGUAUUAACCUUUAAUUUUCUCCUCUGAUUCUUUUUUUCUUUUCUUUUUCCUCCUUUCUGCCGUUUGUUUUUCCCUUUUCACAUUCCUAUUCCUGUUUGUAUUUUUUCUCCUGUUUUGUAUUUUUUAUUUUGAGACAGGAUCUUUCUAAGUAGCCCCCACUGGGCUUGAACUUGCGAUCCUCUUGCCUCAGCCACCAUGCCUGGCUCUGUCUUCAUUUUCCGUAGGUGUUGGUACUUAGGUUACGCCAGCUUCACGAAACAUUUAGAAAUGGAGGGUCACCUUUCUAUUCUCUGAUAAUGUUUGUGUAAAUUUUCUGAUGAAGUUUAUUUCCUUCUUAAAUGUUUGCUGGAAUUUACCUAUGAAGCUGUAGGUAUGGCAUUUUCUUUUGGGGAGCUUUUGGUAAUUUGUUUUUGUUUUGUUUUGGUGUACCGGGGAUCGAACUUGGGACCUUGCGCUUGAGAGGAGGGCGCCGGAACCACUGAGCUAAAUCCCCAGCCCUGAUGUGCAUUUGUUGGAGGGAGAAGUGUGAACUUUUCAGGAGAAAGGGCAUCCUGGGACUUGUUGGUCUCUUUCCGUCCCGGCAGCCUGAUGUCACGUCCGGCACAGAAGGGUCACUCUGUGAAUGUGUGUUAUGUUAAUAAGUUGCUUGUUGCUGUGUCUCUCUCCCUUGGCAUCUCUGGGAGGCAUCCACAGGGGCCUGUGUUGCAGCUGUGCCAUGACAAGAGCAGAUGCCCUGGAACUAGGCUGGCUGCCCUCAGAUGUCUGCAUGCCAGGCCCUCCCACUGUGGCUGUCCAGAUUCCUGGUGCUCUGUCCUCGGGCCCUCUGAGUCAGGGCUUGCCAACAGGAAAAAAUAGUUUGAACGUUUCCCCUUUAUGGUGGUGUUGUAAAAUGUUAAGUCCUUUUGGUGAAAUGACUUCUUUUCAUUUUUACAGUGGUCUUGAAAUACCAGAGGAACAAGAAAGCCAUUGUAAGCUUGGUGAGAAGAAAAGGGUAAUUCAUCUCUGAGCAUCCAGCUAACAUAAGGAAGGCGAGGCUUUGGUGAGGGAGGAUUAUUUCUGCAGGCACUUGACCUUGCGUAUGAUUACCUGCUUCCUUGGGAAUCUGCUCUGAGAUGUCCUUUCCUGGGUUGCUGAGAGAGGACAGUCCCUGAACCCGAUGAGUGAGUCAGGGUGUUGAAAGAGGGCAGGGUGGCUUGGGUGGCGUGCGUACUGCAUGCAGGUCCCUAGUGUCCACGUUUCAGGCUGCGUUUCAGCACCUGCAGCAGUCGCAGAAGUUGGGCCUUGGAGUUCAGGGCUUGUUGGUCAGAGCUGGGCACUUGGAAGGACAGCUAUAUUUCUCAGGGUUCAUCCCCUUUCUGGUCUAGAGUCGAAUGCCACAGUCUGUGUUUUUGUUUUUGUUUUUAAUUGAUGUAUGUUUGCAAUACAUGAUAUUUACAUUCACUUUGAGGAAUUGGCACAUACUGCACAUAUGAUGCAUCUUGAUCACUUCCACCCUCCUGCCCCAUCCCUGUCUUAGAGUGCCAAGUGUGUGUGCCAGCACAUGUGCCUCUCCCAGACCGCAAGGGCCGGCAGGCAGGCAUUCAAACCCCUGAGGCGAGAGUACAUGGACCACAGUGUCCUGCAGGACACAGCUUGGCCCAUGUCUUCCGGCCCCAGCUCCCCUGUAGAAGCACUGGCCUUAGCACAUCGCCUGUCUCUCUGGGCAUUUAUUUCCCUCAUGUGAAAGGAGGUUAAAUCAGUUGGACUUCCAGUGACAGGCACUUGUGUGAUACUGUGACCUAACUGUGCUACCAUGAGACCUUGAAGAGGAAAGACUUGGAUGGUCCUUGCCUUAUCACUGUAGUUCCUAUAGCUUGGCUUCAGCAUGCCAGAACUGGAACCCUUCAUCCUGUGUUAUUUCUAUUAGUGCAUGUUGGUUAUACAGGAGAAAGGGUUUUGUUUUGGCAGGUACGUUUUUCUUUGGAGCCUUAGCUAUAUGUUGGGCAGAGGAGAUGGCUGUCUUCCGUCUCGAGAGGGGGGUUGGCUGGGUGGGAGAAGGAGGCCAUCUCCCUGGGCUCACUACUCCCUGGGCCUACUCCCUUCAUGGGGAGGUGUUAGGGGCUGAAAGACUCUACUUUAUUGCCCGGGGUAGAAGUUGAGGGCACCUCACGCAGGUAGCAGUCAGGCCUCGGAGGUUUUCCAGUUGACUCUUGGACAAAACACAGUAAAGCUGGAGAACACUACAGCCCCCAGGUCCAGAGCAGAUGGUUAGGUUUGCACGUGCAGUUGGGGUCGGGUGUAUGGGGAGGUAAUGCUGAGGCAUGUUUUAUGGUAGCCUUUUAAAUUCUGUAAGGUUUUUCAUUGUAAAUUACUUAGAAAACAUAUGCUUUCAUACAGUUUUGAGAUGUGACCCUUUGUGGAACAGGAAGGGCUAAAUUCUGUGUUUAUGCAGCAUGUGUUAAUUCCCUGUCAGGCUCUUAGGAAUCUGCAUGGGAGUGGAAUGGACAUCCCUCCUUUGUAGAGUCAGGGGCAGAGAAAAAGGACAAGGUGCAGAUCCCUUCUUCAUUUAAUGUUUCCAAGUCAGAUCCUCUUUAUACUCUUCCUAAGGGGUGUACAGCCAGUGGAUCAUUAUAUAAGGGGUAGCAGCCAAUUUUUUCUGUUAAGAGCCGAAUACUUUAGGCUUUGUGGCCUGUGGUGUCUGCGGCAGCUCCCUACUCUGUUGUUGAGGCAUAGCUGCGUGCAGCAACCAUGGACAUCAUGGCAGUGUUCCAGUACAACUGUUCGGAGCGCAGGUGCAGGUCAUAGUUUGCCUGUCCUAGCCUGAUACCCACAUUUCAUUCUCUGUAGUUAUUCCAGCCUUCCCUUUGCUGGGAAGCAGGCUUCCUGGUGCUCCUGCCUCUUUUUGUUCAGAGUUUUCAGUGCUGGUCCCUAAUGAAGUCAUUUGUUCUCAACACCUGGAGGAUAAAGACAGCUCCAUUUCUGUGGCUUGGGUUCUUUCCUGUGUGGUGAUGAGGGUGCUGACUCUACCAGGGUUGCUUGGGAUGUCAGCAGGAAGCCCAGGUGCCCAGGUUCCUCCCAGGCUGCUCAGCUGUCCUCUGCAUGAGGCUAUGCUGCAGGAGCCAGGCUUUCGAGGGCUCUCUGGGAAGCUCUGGCCUGGACGUCAGCCCCUGGUUGCCUUGUGCCCAGCCAAGGCCGUGUGUUAGCUGGGCCUGGCCAGAGGGCCCCUGGCAGCAGGGUCUUCUGGGAGGAGUUGAUUUUUUUUUUUGCUUAAAUUCUUUGGGAGGAGAUGACUUUUGAGGGGUUUAUUUUUGUGGAGGAAAAAUCUGUAGAUAAAUUUUGAAAUACUUUUUUACUGUAGAAAGUUUGGAAAAUACAGAAAACUAGAAGGAAAUGAAGAGAUUCCUCAGGGCUACCGCCUGAGAUGUGAACUUUUAAGUUUUCCAGGCUAUGUACAUUUACUUAUAAAACAAAACGAAACCAAACCACAAAUGUGUAAUAAAAAUAUAACCCUAUCUCCUUUCCCCCAGUUUUUUUUUUUUUUUUUUUUUUUAAACUGUGGCAAAAUACACAUAACAUCAGUUUUGCGUCUUAGCCAUUUUAAGAGGACAUUGUGAAUGUGCACUUUGGAAAAUUCUCUGUAAACCUGUUUGGCC
ensembl:lncRNA